GAUGAACGCUGGCGGCGUGCCUAAUACAUGCAAGUCGAGCGAACAGACGAGGAGCUUGCUCCUCUGACGUUAGCGGCGGACGGGUGAGUAACACGUGGAUAACCUACCUAUAAGACUGGGAUAACUUCGGGAAACCGGAGCUAGUACCGGAUAAUAUAUUGAACCGCAUGGUUCAAUAGUGAAAGACGGUUUUGCUGUCACUUAUAGAUGGAUCCGCGCCGCAUUAGCUAGUUGGUAAGGUAACGGCUUACCAAGGCAACGAUGCGUAGCCGACCUGAGAGGGUGAUCGGUCACACUGGAACUGAGACACGGUCCAGACUCCUACGGGAGGCAGCAGUAGGGAAUCUUCCGCAAAGGGCGAAAGCCUGACGGAGCAACGCCGCGUGAGUGAUGAAGGUCUUCGGAUCGUAAAACUCUGUUAUUAGGGAAGAACAAAUGUGUAAGUAACUAUGCACGUCUUGACGGUACCUAAUCAGAAAGCCACGGCUAACUACGUG
rnacentral:rRNA from 1 species